rnacentral:ncRNA from 1 species
AAUAAGACGCUGAAGAGGAAUAGUAGAAAUUUCAUUUCGAGCCUAAAGAGAGCUGACGGAUGGUGAAAGUCAGCCGAAUGAAUGUCGAACUCACCUCUGAGUCGAUUGCGCGAAACUGUAUUAGUGCAAUCCGUAUUCCGCGAUAAGGAUGAUAACUUUUUCAAAGUGCGUGUACACGAAUUUGGGUGGUACCGCGGGAGACAAUAAAUAAACUCUCGUCCCAUUA